AUGUUGCAGCAGCUGUCAACAACAUGUUUGGUCAGAUGAAGACUGGGUGGAGAAGUUUGCUGGGAAGAGGAUAAAGAGGAAGGUGGUUGAGACUUCCCAAAGCAGAAAGCCAGGAGGUAAGAAUGACAGUUCAUGCUUCCAUAGGAGAGGCUGCUGCUUUCCACAUAGGGAAUUUCUGAGGUGAGUGGUGUUGGGUGAAUUUAAAGGAGAAGUUUUGGCUUUCUUAUCUAGGUGAGAAAUAUCUUAUGUGGGCUCAGGUAUUUGUGAUUGCUGCUGAGCAAGGCGGAUAUCUGAGGUGAGAAAGGAUGGUGAGUACUCUGCAUCACCAGCAUCCGCUAUCCUCCUAGUCUUUGGCAGCAGGCUCACUGUCUUCCUGUUCUUGCCCUAAUUCCAAGGGGGCAGAAUCAUGUAGAGGUCCCUUCCCCUCAGUCAGUACACAGGCACAAGGCUCUCCCUGCCCUCUCCACUUGCUCCUGCUUCUCCAUCAGGCCAUCCUGACUGUUGCUUCCCAGGAUAAUUUAAGGGCUCCUCCUCCUCAGUCCACCCUUUGAGCAGUGAUAUUUCCCUGAAUUCCUUCCUUAGCCCUCAGCACCUCUCUCCACAUUAUCC
rnacentral:lncRNA from 1 species